GGACGUGAGGACAAUCUGCAUGCUAUCCCUGUCACUCUCGUAAUCACCAGGGCUUACUUGGCUGAUCUGGCUGGGUAGGUCGUUUUCUUUUCUCUCGCAUACUCCCCAAGUUUCCCUUCUGAAGUUGCCAUCUAAAUCAGAGAAGAGGGUUGUUGGUGAAGUAUGUGCUAUCUGGCUCUUCUAUUUGAGUUUUCUCACAGGCUCUCAUAAGUUCUAAAAGUCACCUCGAAGCCAGAUCGAAUGCCAUGCCACGUUGGUUGAGCAGGAUCUGCAGAUCUUGGAUGAAAUAAUGUAUCCAGCAAACACCCCACCCAGUCUAUAUCUACAUGACUAUGUAGCCUGUGCUG
rnacentral:sRNA from 1 species